AAAAAAGGUAAGCUACUAAGAGCGAAUGGUGGAUGCCUUGACUGGUAAAGGCGAUGAAGGACGUACUAGACUGCGAUAAGCUACGGGGAGCUGUCAAGAAGCUUUGAUCCGUAGAUUUCCGAAUGGGGCAACCCAAUGUAUAGAGAUAUACAUUACCUAUAUAGGAGCGAACGAGGGGAAUUGAAACAUCUUAGUACCCUCAGGAAAAGAAAUCAAUAGAGAUUGCGUCAGUAGCGGCGAGCGAAAGCGCAAGAGGGCAAACCCAGUGCUUGCACUGGGGGUUGUAGGACUGCAAUGUGCAAGAGGUGAGUUUAGCAGAACAUUCUGGAAAGUAUAGCCAUAGAGGGUGAUAGUCCCGUAUGCGAAAAACAAACCUUAGCUAGCAGUAUCCUGAGUAGGGCGGGACACGAGAAAUCCUGUCUGAAGCUGGGUCGACCACGAUCCAACCCUAAAUACUAAUACCAGAUCGAUAGUGCACAAGUACCGUGAGGGAAAGGUGAAAAGAACUGAGGUGAUCAGAGUGAAAUAGAACCUGAAACCAUUUGCUUACAAUCAUUCAGAGCCCUAUGUAGCAAUACAGGGUGAUGGACUGCCUUUUGCAUAAUGAGCCUGCGAGUUGUGGUGUCUGGCAAGGUUAAGCAAACGCGAAGCCGUAGCGAAAGCGAGUCUGAAUAGGGCGCUUAGUCAGAUGCUGCAGACCCGAAACGAAGUGAUCUAUCCAUGAGCAAGUUGAAGCUAGUGUAAGAACUAGUGGAGGACUGAACCCAUAGGCGUUGAAAAGCCCCGGGAUGACUUGUGGAUAGGGGUGAAAGGCCAAUCAAACUUCGUGAUAGCUGGUUCUCUCCGAAAUAUAUUUAGGUAUAGCGUUGUGUCGUAAUAUAAGGGGGUAGAGCACUGAAUGGGCUAGGGCAUACACCAAUGUACCAAACCCUAUCAAACUCCGAAUACCUUAUAUGUAAUCACAGCAGUCAGGCGGCGAGUGAUAAAAUCCGUCGUCAAGAGGGAAACAACCCAGACUACCAGCUAAGGUCCCUAAAUCUUACUUAAGUGGAAAACGAUGUGAAGUUACUUAAACAACCAGGAGGUUGGCUUAGAAGCAGCCAUCCUUUAAAGAAAGCGUAAUAGCUCACUGGUCUAGUGAUUUUGCGCGGAAAAUAUAACGGGGCUAAAGUAAGUACCGAAGCUGUAGACUUGCACACAACUUAGAUUAUUUAAGUUUAGAAUAUGAGAAACUAAGUUAUAUGUUUAGUUAUAUUUUUACUGAUUUUUAUAGAGUAAAGAUAGAAAUAAAACUUAGUAAAAUCAGUAAAAAUAUUCUUAGACUAAAGUUAAGUAGUUUAAGUUGUGUGCAAGUGGUAGGAGAGCGUUCUAUUUGCGUCGAAGGUAUACCGGUAAGGAGUGCUGGAGCGAAUAGAAGUGAGCAUGCAGGCAUGAGUAGCGAUAAUUAAUGUGAGAAUCAUUAACGCCGUAAACCCAAGGUUUCCUACGCGAUGCUCGUCAUCGUAGGGUUAGUCGGGUCCUAAGUCGAGUCCGAAAGGGGUAGACGAUGGCAAAUUGGUUAAUAUUCCAAUACCAACAUUAGUGUGCGAUGGAAGGACGCUUAGGGCUAAGGGGGCUAGCGGAUGGAAGUGCUAGUCUAAGGUCGUAGGAGGUUAUACAGGCAAAUCCGUAUAACAAUACUCCGAGAACUGAAAGGCUUUUUGAAGUCUUCGGAUGGAUAGAAGAACCCCUGAUGCCGUCGAGCCAAGAAAAGUUUCUAAGUUUAGCUAAUGUUGCCCGUACCGUAAACCGACACAGGUGGGUGGGAUGAGUAUUCUAAGGCGCGUGGAAGAACUCUCUUUAAGGAACUCUGCAAAAUAGCACCGUAUCUUCGGUAUAAGGUGUGGUUAGCUUUGUAUUAGGAUUUACUCCGAAAGCAAGGAAACUUACAACAAAGAGUCCCUCCCGACUGUUUACCAAAAACACAGCACUCUGCUAACUCGUAAGAGGAUGUAUAGGGUGUGACGCCUGCCCGGUGCUCGAAGGUUAAUUGAUGGGGUUAGCAUUAGCGAAGCUCUUGAUCGAAGCCCGAGUAAACGGCGGCCGUAACUAUAACGGUCCUAAGGUAGCGAAAUUCCUUGUCGGUUAAAUACCGACCUGCAUGAAUGGCGUAACGAGAUGGGAGCUGUCUCAAAGAGGGAUCCAGUGAAAUUGUAGUGGAGGUGAAAAUUCCUCCUACCCGCGGCAAGACGGAGAGACCCCGUGGACCUUUACUACAGCUUGACACUGCUAUUUGGAUAAGAAUGUGCAGGAUAGGUGGGAGGCUUUGAGUAUAUGACGCCAGUUGUAUAUGAGCCAUUGUUGAGAUACCACUCUUUCUUAUUUGGGUAGCUAACCAGCUUGAGUUAUCCUCAAGUGGGACAAUGUCUGGUGGGUAGUUUGACUGGGGCGGUCGCCUCCCAAAUAAUAACGGAGGCUUACAAAGGUUGGCUCAGAACGGUUGGAAAUCGUUCGUAGAGUAUAAAGGUAUAAGCCAGCUUAACUGCAAGACAUACAAGUCAAGCAGAGACGAAAGUCGGUCUUAGUGAUCCGGUGGUUCUGUGUGGAAGGGCCAUCGCUCAAAGGAUAAAAGGUACCCCGGGGAUAACAGGCUGAUCUCCCCCAAGAGCUCACAUCGACGGGGAGGUUUGGCACCUCGAUGUCGGCUCAUCGCAUCCUGGGGCUGGAGCAGGUCCCAAGGGUAUGGCUGUUCGCCAUUUAAAGCGGUACGCGAGCUGGGUUCAGAACGUCGUGAGACAGUUCGGUCCCUAUCUGCCGUGGGCGUAAGAAGAUUGAAGAGAUUUGACCCUAGUACGAGAGGACCGGGUUGAACAAACCACUGGUGUAGCUGUUGUUCUGCCAAGAGCAUCGCAGCGUAGCUAAGUUUGGAAAGGAUAAACGCUGAAAGCAUCUAAGCGUGAAGCCAACUCUAAGAUGAAUCUUCUCUAAGCUCUCUAGAAGACUACUAGUUUGAUAGGCUGGGUGUGUAAUGGAUGAAAGUCCUUUAGCUGACCAGUACUAAUAGAGCGUUUGGCUUAUCUUUAAUAAAGCAU
rnacentral:rRNA from 1 species